UUAUCGUACAACGGGGGUGCGAGGGCUGUCGCUGACCUUUCNNAAGGUCGUGCACGCUCGAGCACUCUCAUACAUCCAUCUCACCCCUUUGUGCAUCACCGCGNGGGUCCCCCUUUGCAAGAGGGCUCACGUUUUCACACAAAACUUGAUACAGUGUANAAUGCUAUUUUUGCGGUCACACGCAAUCAAUACNACUUUCAACAACGGAUCUCUUGGCUCUCGCAUCGAUGAAGAACGCAGCGAAAUGCGAUACGUAAUGUGAAUUGCANAAUUCAGUGAAUCAUCGAAUCUUUGAACGCACCUUGCGCCCCUUGGCAUUCCGAGGGGCACACCCGUUUGAGUGUCGNGAAAUCAUCAAAAACCCNUUUNUGUUUACUGAAAAGGAUUUUUGGACUUG
rnacentral:misc_RNA from 1 species